AAGUCGGGGCCUAAGGAGAGGUCGAAAGACGUAUCCGAUGGACAACAGGUUUAGAUUCCCGUACCACAUAUAAACAGAACUGUGGGGACGCAUGUGGAAAGCAUAAGCCGGGAAUGGAAAUACCGGUACAAACGGAAGAGGUGUCAGGCUGGCAAAUCCGCCUGGCAAGCCAAAGACGUGAUGUGGAGCGAAAUAAAAGUAGCGAAGUAUGUGAGCCAUGUGCCGAGAAAAGCCGCUAUUGUUUUAUAUGUGCCCGUACCGUAAACCGACACAGGUGGAUGAGGAGAGAAUCCUAAGGCCGACGGAAGAAGCAUUGUUAAGGAACUCGGCAAAAUGACCCCGUAACUUCGGGAGAAGGGGUGCCCACUUCAGGGUGGGCCUCAGAGAAUAGGCUCAAGCAACUGUUUAGCAAAAACACAGGUCUAUGCGAAACCGUAAGGUGAAGUAUAUGGGCUGACGCCUGCCCGGUGCUGGAAGGUUAAGAGGAGAGGUUAGUCGCAAGAUGAAGCUUUGAAUUUAAGCCCCAGUAAACGGCGGCCGUAACAAUAACGGUCCUAAGGUAGCGAAAUUCCUUGUCGGAUAAGUUCCGACCCGCACGAAAGGCGUAAUGAUUUGAGCACUGUCUCGACAAUGCAUCCGGUGAAAUUGAAGUACCAGUGAAGAUGCUGGUUACCCGCGCCAGGACGGAAAGACCCCAUGGAGCUUUACUCCAGUUUGGUACUGGGAUUCGGUACUGCAUGUACAGGAUAGGUGGGAGACUGAGAAAUUGGAACGCCAGUUUCAAUGGAGUCACUGUUGGGAUACCACCCCUGCAGUAUUGGGUUUCUAACCAGCCGCUGUGAUCCAGCGGUGGGACAAUGCCAGGCGGGGAGUUUGACUGGGGCGGUCGCCUCCGAAAGGGUAUCGGAGGCGCUCAAAGGUUCCCUCAGAAUGGUCGGAAACCAUUUUAAGAGUGCAAAGGCAGAAGGGAGCUUGACUGCGACACCGACGGGUGGAGCAGGUACGAAAGUAGGACUUAGUGAUCCGGUGGCAUAAAGUGGGAUUGCCAUCGCUCAACGGAUAAAAGCUACCCUGGGAUAACAGGCUUAUCACUCCCAAGAGUUCACAUCGACGGAGUGGUUUGGCACCUCGAUGUCGGCUCAUCGCAUCCUGGGGCUGUAGCAGGUCCCAAGGGUUGGGCUGUUCGCCCAUUAAAGCGGUACGCGAGCUGGGUUCAGAACGUCGUGAGACAGUUCGGUCCCUAUCCGGCGCGGGCGGAGGAUAUUUGAGAGGAGCUGUCCUUAGUACGAGAGGACCGGGAUGGACGGACCACUGGUGUAUCUGCUGUCGACCAACGGCAUGGCAGAGUAGCCAAGUCCGGAAGGGAUAAACGCUGAAGGCAUCUAAGCGUGAAGCCCCCCUCAAGAUGAGAUAUCCCUCACAUAAGUGAGUAAGAUCCCUUGAAGAGUACAAGGUAGAUAGGGCAGAGGUGGAAGCAUGGUAACAUGUGGAGCUGACUGUUACUAAUCGAUCGAGGGCUUGACCG
rnacentral:rRNA from 1 species